CAAAAGCAUAUGCGAUUAACUGGUGUUCGCCAUAACCCCUUGAGAACCACACCAUAUUUUAUCGAUUUUCCAAAAAAUAUGAAACCUAAUCGAAGUUUUCCAAAUAGUUUAUGCAAAUUUCCGUGCCAAAGAAUGGAGGAGUGACUUUAUAGGAAGUUUGUUUUUGUGUUCAGCAGAAAUGAAAAGAAAAAAGUGACCAUAUAUGUUGAAGGGGAAUACCUUGUACGUUCUGACAUCUGUGAGCGUCGCCUAAAAAAGACGUCUUUUUCUCUCCUUCUUACAUCGAGUCUGCUUCUUUCCAUAAAACUUCCAUCUCUCUUCUCUUUAGCAUCGCCGUUCUACCCUUCCAUAUCCAUCGUUGCCCCAACGUUCCAUCAGCGCUUCACCUCCACCCUCCUUUAGGCGGUCCAUCGGUUGCUGGUUCGCCGUCCUCCCGUGUAACACCACAUUUAGGCAUCCUCUUCUCGGUCUUCUCGGUUUUCGGAAAUUACCUGCACAAGACCUUUGAAAUUACUUGAUGAAUCUGGAUUUUGAUGUAUCGAUUCCAACGAAUACUGCUUAAUUUUGAUCUAGUUGAGAUUUCAGCAUUAGGGAAGUGAAUGUCUCUAUUCUCGUUCACGAAGGUUUGUUCUCUCAUUGAACCCUUGUGGGUGAUGAAUGUGGUUCCUGUUAAUGGUUAUCAACCGAGUUAUCAGCCCAUAAAGUGUUUUGAAGUCUGAUCAUGUUUGCAACUGUUUUUAGAGUUUAUGUUCAAAGUUGAAACCAAAAUAGAUUAUUAGAUUACAUUACAUUUAUUCUUUCGUUAUGGUAUUCUACAUUAUUCCUUUCAACAUUGUACUUUAAAAUUUCUAUCAAAAUAUAUCAUUGUGUUUCUACCUUGUUUAUUACAAUGCUAAACCUUGAAACAUCUACUAAUAUAAAACAAAACAAAAACAAUUUGUGACUUCAAAUUAGCAAAGGAAUUGUAAUUUUUAUUGGCCAUGUAUUUCAGUUUAUUUUAUUGAGUUUUCCUCAACCUCCAAACAGAACUAAUUAUUAAGUGGAACUGGAAAUCUGUAUCAGCAUGUCUUGCUAAGGAGGCUGAGAUGGAGUACUCUUGGUCUCCAGUUUGACUGGUCAAAGUUGGAGAAGAAUUUCAACAAGAAGCUGCUAUUGUUAAUUACUUUGGUUCAGGUACUAAUACUAUUUGGAAUUUGCAUACUAAAUAUUCAAUAUCCAUAUGUCAACUGUACUAUAUCUUUAUAAUGAUUAAUUUAUGUCUACACUCGUUAGUUAGAUUAAGGGGAAGUUCGCUUUCAAAAAUAAAUAAAUAAACACAAGUUAUUUUUAUCGUCCGAAUUAAUUAAAACCAUGAAAAGAAACCUAAGAGGACGAGCCCAACGACAUAUUAGUCAAAACAAAAACCAAAACACCAAAAUUACACUAGAGGAGAAACCAAAAAUUAGAAAUGAUACUACAAUCAAGGCACUAGAUGGUACAACAUGCACUUAUUAUUACCCAAAAUGGAACCAAGGACAAAAAGGUCAAUGUUUGACAUGAGGUAAAAACACCUACAAAUUAAUAAGAAAGUGCAUCAAAUUGAGAUAACAUGAUCAACCCACUCAAAUCUCUAGGCAACCAGCGACUAGAAAGAUAAACAAAAUAAAAGAGUACUUAACAAAAAAAAAAGUAGACAACUAAGUGAGUUUGGAAUCAAUGAUUCCGAUAUUGUUAGCAAAGAAGAAGCAAGUGUUUAUGAAGAGAAAGCAUAAUAGAUGUAACACCGUAAAAAUUCAACCAAUUUUUCACUUUUCAAAAACAUAAUAAUUCAUUAUAAAAAUCAUAAUGUAUCUCAAAUCAUAAACAUCUAUCUCAAAAAUAUAAGUAUCCAAAACAUUUCCCCAGAAUCUCAUCAAAAUACUCCCACAAUGUGUACAAUCAAGCUGGCGCUUUCCCGCGAUCCUCGCUGGUACCUGAAACACAUUUCACACAACACGGUAAGCAUAAAUGCUUAGUGAGUUCCCCAAAAUACCACAUGCAGCACAUACGCCACUCAAGGCAACAAUAUGACCCUCUAGUCGAUGUGUCUUAGCAGAACCCUCCAAUUCUGUAUCGUUGGGCUCUCCAACCCGGUCUGUCUCGUUGGACCCUCCGGCCCGGUCUAUAUCAUUGGACCCUCCGGUCCGGUCUACAUCACAUAGCAUAAAUAUAUCACAAACACAUAAGCACAAAUAGCACAUAACAUAUAAGACCCUCCGGUCUGCUCAUGGUUACCACACUAGGUAAUGUAUAAUGAGAAGACUCACCUCGGGAAUGUCUCAGAAAAUCACAGCUCGGUAUCUCUGAACCUCGAAACGACCUAGCCCCGCCUAAUCACAUAAAGUAAUUAUUUCAAUCAUUAACGUCUCUCAAGGCUAGACUAUACCCCUUUCUACAAUCCCACAGAAGGGUAAAAGACCAUUUUAUCCCUUCCUGAUCCAAAAGUACAAUUGUUGACCAAAACCCUAAAAGUUAACGAAGUCAACGGUCAACCUUGACCAGACUCGUCGAGUUGUCUCAACGACUCGGCGAGUCCAGUCGUGAACUCUACUCCUCUGAUUCUCUUUCGACUCACCGAGUCACUCACCUAACUCGGCGGGUCACUCUCUAGAUUCACAGCUUCGGGACAACUCGACUCGACUCGUCGAGUCUGUUCAUGGACUCGGUGAGUCUAAUCUAUGCUCAACUUCAAAUGGCUUCCUAAGGUCAGAUUUGAUACUCUACUCCAUAGAUCUAUCCUUUCUAGUCCCAAUAAUCACGUAAAGUUCGAAGCUUGAUGCCCAUGCAAAGGCUCCAAGGUUCUAUUUGAAGAAAUGACAUCUAAUAUGGCAUCCUAAGUUCAUAUUCACCAACAAUCCUCAUAAAGCUCAAAGGAGUAAGGUCUCUGGACCUCUAUGGAUCCAGAUCCAAGACCAAAAUACGAAAAGGAAUCAUAUACUCAACAAAACCAUCUAUCAAAGGAUCUAGAAAACCCUAACUCUAUAAACAAUCACCAAAACAGAAGAUGGAUCGAGAUUACACCUCAAAUAAGCACUCCUGAACUCAGAAUUCCUCCAAAUAGCACCUCCUUCAGCCUCCUCUUGAUCUUGAUCACCUUCUUCUUGCUAAACCAAUGAUAGAAAGAUCAAAUAUGGCAUCUCCUUCCUCACAAACGAUUUAGCUCACUUAGGGUUUCUCUCAAGGGACUAGUAGCCGCAAUGGAAGGCUAUGAGUGCCCUUAAAUAGGCUCCAAAACCCGGGAAUUAGGGUUUCAUUUGCUAGCGCAGACUCGGCGAGUGAUAUGCCCGACUCGUCGAGUCUGGUCGCGAAGAUUCGCAGAAACUUCCUCACCUACUCGACGAGUCGUGGCACCAACUCGUCGAGUCCCUCCUCUUUCUUGAAUAAAUAAUUAAAAUUAAAACAUACCCAAAACUCUGGAUGUUACAAUAGAUAAGGUUGAACUUAAAGAUGAGAAAAGGGUAUAAAAAAAUAUUAGCCCUGUAGUAAUUUGCCUUGAAAAGUUGAAUCAGUGACAUUUGCAUGUACAAAUGUUAGCUGGUGAAUAGAAAAAAACCCCAUACAAUAAUAAGAAGUUCUUAAAUCUUUAUUAAAUUAAAAAUGCAUUAAUAAACUAAAAUAAAUUCAUUUAUUUAAUAUGUUUCAACUUUCAAUUGAAAAAAUAGAUUUAGAAAGCACACAAUGAAAAACAUAGGGUUUAGAUAUAAUAUAAAGAUAUACAUCGAUCCACGGAGAGGAAUGGAUACUCUGGUUAGCAUAGUAUAGAUCGAGAGGGGGAGAAAAGAGAAACGACAGAGGAGAACAAAGAGAGACAGAAAAUUCAUAACAUAUUAGUUGGCGGUGACAAAGGGAUGACAUGGAUCGAAGGCUACAAUAGUGAGGAUCGAUGUCCACCGGACGGAUGACCGAGUGGAGAGAUUGUCGGUGGGAGGUUGCAAUUAUGAAAGUGAACAAUGUAUUAAGGAAUAUGAAUAAGGUAGGUUAAUUAGAAAUAUCUUUUGCAUUUGGAAGCAGCGUUUCUAGGUUUUUCUGGAAAAGAGGUGAAAAAGUCUUUUUGUGCUCUUCUGUCUUCCAGAAAACAAACGCUCUUUUUGACAAGCAUCUACUCAUUGGCAGACAUAAAUGCCCAAAAGACACUUAUAGAAAAAACAAACACUAUUUUUGCUAAAGUGUUUUUUGGGCACUUAUGUGCGUCGGUGGGUAGAUAUUUGUCAAAAAGGGCUUUUGUUUUCGAGAAGACAAGAGCACAAAAAGAUUUAUCACCACUUUUUCAAAAAGACUGUCACACAUGGAUCUUGAGGUACUUUUUAUAUUUUUAAUUUUGGCAUUUUAAGGUUUGCCAGGACAUGGUGGGGAGGUACCACCACGCGGCGAGUUAAGAUCAGGCCAUAUAUUUCAUUUAAGCCGCCACAGCGUGACAAUAUAGGCCAUGGUGUGGCAGCUGUCAACUGACAAACCCUGUUUUUCGGGUUUUGCUCCAUUUUUAAAGGAAUGAGGAGGUUAGGGUUUUCUCACCCUUAGCCUCCAUCAAUCUCCUUGAGAUCUAAGAAAACCCUAAAUCCCUUACUCUCUUAUUUUAAACCCUUUUGGUGUUCUUUGAAGCCUUUGAAGGAAGAAAGAAGAAGAAGUGAGUUAAGGUUUAGCAAGUUGGUCCUCAUCCUCGGUUUUAGCAUUCCUUUGGGGCCUUUUAAGUGUCCCAGACUCGAUUUUUAUCAUGAUAGGUUGCUAGAUCUUAUGUUUUGUCCUUAAAUCUUCAUGUUUUUGUGAAUUGGAGUGAUAGGAUCUCAUAAAGUUUUUAACCUUAUGAAUCUUUCGGACAUUUGGCAUGAUUAUUGGUUUGGAUCUGGAUUCUUGUUAGGUUUUGAGCCAUGCAUGAAAUUUCCAUAGAAAAACCCUUAUUUUGACUCAUUAUGGCUUCAAGACAUGCAUUGGACAUGCAUGUCUAUAAAGCACCAACUUUUAUGUUGGGUUUGAUAUUAGAAACAGAUCUAGAGUAAAUAAGUUAUGGACAUCUUGGAAUAAGUGCUUAAUAGGGAAAGUUAUGUCUUAUUUAGCCCUUUGAAACCUAGGGUUUGAUAUUUUGACCUUUUGGGUGGUCUUAGCGGAUAAAGUUGGAAACUUUAUCCUUAUAGACCUGGUUUCGGACCAGAUAUGAGCUUUAGAGCUCUUAGGAUCGAAUAAAAUAGCUUCAUCCAUUAAGCAGUUGAAAACCUAGUGCCCACGACGUGUCAUUAGGUCGCCACGGUGUUACGAUCAGGAAACUUGCGAUGGAUUGUUCAUUGGCAUGCCACAACGUGGCUAUAGGUGACCACGACGUGACGGUUGAGUAAAGCCAAUGUUGACCGUUGACUUUGACCAUUGACUUAUGACUUGAGUUGAUUUUUGGUCAAGCACCUAGUUUGAAGGAAGAGCUUAAGGUUUAUUUGGUUUGACUAAAUAGGUGGUGCAUAGCAGCGACUUCUAUCAGUGAGAGCAGUAGCAGUCAAGAAUUUUCUAUGAGGUGAGUUGUAUCACCAUACUGGUGGGUCGAAGGCACCAAUGUUGACCCACUUAUUUAUACGUUUAGGAUGUAUGUGAUUAUGUGACUAUUUCCCGGUGUCGUGUCGGAUUUUCCGCGAAACUUCGACAGUCCAUAACUUCUUCGUUAUAACUCGGAUUUCGACAUUCCUUAUAUAUCCGGAAUCCUUGUGUCACCCACUACAACUUUAUGUAAAUAUAUCGGGUUUAUCUCACACUUUAAUUUUGACACUUAUUUUUAUUCUUUAUUUAUUAUACCUUUAUAAUUAAGUAUAAAGCACAUAAAUUCACAUAAUACUCAAAUAAUUUAUCUUUAUUAGUUCAAAAAGAAUUACAGCAGUUGACCCAGACUAUUACAUCAUCUACAAAUGCUUAGCCCUGAAACACGGGCGUUACAGUUGACUUUUUGACCAAUUUGACUUUUGGUCAACUGUGAGGGGUUUAAGACUUGGAAAGUGCAAAAUGGUCUUUUUCCCAAAUUAGGGUUAGACUAAUUAUUUUUGGACCUCUUAAGUUGGAAAAUUUUCUUAAUUGUUAAUCGGGAUUGUUUUAGUUAUGUUUAGAAUGAGGAGCUUUUGAUAGCAGAAGCUCGAGUGUGUGUUUUACUCGUCUAUCAAUUGAGGUGAGUCUUCUCACUCUACUUUUGGGUCGAAGACACCAAUGUCGGCCCAUUGGAUUGUGUAUGUAGGAUGAUGGUUGUAUUUGUGACUCUUGCAUGUUUGUAUAACUGGGUUGAAAGAAAAUCUAGGGUUGGUCUCAUUAUUGCAUGAUCGGUUUGAUGUAUGGAAUUAACCGAGCUCAAGUAAGUAUUUCCCAAAAUACUCAUACAUGUGUCAUGCUUAUUGUUUUGGUGUGAAUAUAUGAAAAUUUCAUGCUAGCUUAGGGCAAAGGAUCGGCUCAUGAAUACAUGAUAGAAUGCUAGGUGAAAUGCCCGUAUAUGCAUGUUGAUUGAGCUUUUGGAACAACAUGCUAGUAUGGAUUUUAGAUGUUAGAUAGAAUGACCUUAUUUAUGAUGCUUUGUAACCUAGGAGGAAUUGAAUGCUAUGAUAGAUUUGGAAUCUAUGUUGGUGGAAGUAAUUGCUAAGUGUAUGCUUUAAAAAUUAUAUACAAUUAGGAUCAUAUAGCCCUAGAAGGACUGAUUUGGCCUUAUUUCCUGGUCCUUGUUUGGUUGUGGAAUUAGGGUAGAAUCAUUCAUUCGAAAGUCUAUAUGAUCUUGUUUUGUGUAUUGUUUUCAUGCAUAAGGCAAUCGGCAGUGUUGGUAGAAGUUCCUAGCAUCGUAGAAGCAAGUUAAUUGGAGGAUGCCUUUUAUGUUUUAUGUCCUAUAGAGUACUACUUCACGAAUGCUACUUGCUUUGU